rnacentral:rRNA from 1 species
UACGGGGGGGGUAAGCGUUGUUCGGAAUUACUGGGCGUAAAGGGCUCGUAGGCGGCCAACUAAGUCAUACGUGAAAUCCCUCAGCUUAACUGGGGAACUGCGUGUGAUACUGGAUGGCUUGGAUUUGGGAGAGGGAUGCGGAAUUCCAGGUGUAGCGGUGAAAUGCGUAGAUAUCUGGAGGAACACCGGUGGCGAAGGCGGCAUCCUGGACCGGUAUUGACGCUGAGGCGCGAAAGCUAGGGGAGCAAACGGG